GGGGUGGGGCUGUGAGCACCUGGUAAAGGUUGAGAAUGGGAGUUUGUGCUUUCAAGAAUCCUUGGGAACAGAUCGGAAUUGCGGGUUUUUGGAGUUUGGGCAGGGUGUGAGUGCUGACCUACGUGGGUGGAGCUAUUGGGAUACUAGGGCGGAGCUUUGGAUUCCAACUUAACUUGGCCCAGAUCUACUUAAGGACAAGGAAGGACUGUGCAGGUUGAACUGGUGGGCCAGACUGUCAGUACUCAGUAAGGUGGUCAGGGCCUCCAACGUACCAGCCAGUGCUGUGUGUGGUGAGAUUAUGUUGAUAGAGCUAAGCUUUGGAUCGUGGCAUUACUUGUUGGAGGACUACAGGAGGAGGAAGGCUUGCCUGUGCGUGUGAGCCGGAUUAGAAAUGAUGGGCGGGGCUGUGUAUGCUGAGAUAGAUUGCUGACAUAUGAAGUAGGAACAGAGCUUUGGAUAGUGACAUAGUAAAGUCCCAGAAAUUCUGAAAGAGAAUGACAGUGUCGUUUGAGAUGUAAGAGCCAGGUUUUGGGUUGUGGAUGGGGCUGUUAAUGCCAGUUUGGAUCUCUAAAGUGCUGGCCAGGACUGUGAAUUGUGAGUGUGACAGCAGGGCUGAGCAAUCCUGAUAGAAUGUGAUAGAAGACCACUUAAGGAAUAGGACGUGGAUGUGGAUGCUGACAUAAGAGUACGGAUUGUGUAUGCUGGACAGGAUGGGUGCACUACUGUGAGUAGUGCUAUAUGAAGCAAGGGAGGAGGAGUCUGGUCAUUUGUGAUGAUGCAGGAGUGGCGGGUAGGACACUGCUUUCUGAGUUAGUUGUGGUGAGUAGUACUGUGUAGGUUGUUGUCUGAUGAUGGGCAGUACUGUGCACACAGUGUGGUUGGAGUGGUGGGAGGGGUGUGGGUUUGAAGGUAGGAGAGGUGGGUGUUGUUGCGAAUGUUGCUCAGGGCACCCAGGGUUUACAGAGUACUGGGAAAGGUCUAUAGGUAUUUCUGGAGGGGGAGGGAGACAUCUGAAUACUGACAUACCAUGACAGAGGAUCACUGGAGAGGGAAGAACAAGACUGUAUGCUGAAGUAGGAGUGGUGGGCUUAGCUGUGAGUGCUGACCUAGGUGAGCUGUCUCGAGAGUAACAGGGAUGGUUGUCAAUGGUAAGAUAUGAAGUGGGGAUUGAACUUUGGAUAUUAAUACAAGAUGAUGCAGGACCACUGGAAGUGGGGGGCAGAGAAGUGUAUGCUGAAGUGGGGGUGAUUGGUGAAGUAUGAAGUAGAGCUUUGAAUACUGUCAUAAUAAAUUUCAGACUGCUGAUGUAGGGCUGGGCUUUGAGUGCUCACCUCCAUGGGUGAGUCAAUGGAAGCAGUGUUGUAGGACAAAGGAAGACAGCAGUGAAUUCUAACCUAACAAGACUCAUGCUAAUGGAGAAGCCCAGCUGAGUGUGUUGAGAUUAGCACUAGAGGCAGAGAUAAAGGAAAAUCAGGGUGGGCCUGUGAGUACUGUGGUUGACCUGGGGGCAGGGAGUGGGCUCCUGAGUAAGCAAGAUAAAGUUGUUAGUGGCAGAGUAGAUGGGAGAGGAAGAAGUUUAGGGCAGACCCCUGGAUUAAAAAGUAAGGCAUUUGGAAUGGGGCUGCAGGAAGAGGAGCUAAGCCGGACUGUGAGAGCUGAGGUGGGGAUGUGGAAAGUGUCCUAUAAGUUGCUGUAUAGAUAUGGGUGGGGCUUGGGAGGAGCAGGGUAGAGCAGGGUAGGGACCUUUUAGGUAUGUCAAAGAAGCUUGUAGAGUAGCUACUUGGAGUUGGAAGGAGGCACUCAGAGAUUGUGAGGCACAUCCUUAAGUAAGAGAGGCAAAGUAAGAAGAGAAGGAUGCCUUAGGGACCUAACCAUAUCCUGAGGGUGAUCUCCAGGGGACACCUUAGAGGGCAUGAAUGCUGCAAAAAAAAAAAAAAGGCCAGGAACUUUUGUCUGGGACUCAGGUAUACUUAAGCUAAGUCUUAAAGGGUAAGACUCAAUUCCUGAGGAGGUCAGCCUCCUUUUCUCCAAGCCCUGCUGUCUAAAAGUACCAAUGGUCCUAAUCUUACUAAGGUUUAUUUCAAGUGCGAAUUUGGCAGCCAACUCUGGAUCCCUACCUCUGCGGUGCCUAGAAGAAAAUAUGGCUGUCUUCUUGUUUGCCAGGGCUACCCAAGGUCAGUCUUCAUCUGCUGCCUGAGCUCCUUUCCGAGCCUCUGGAUGAGCUUGUCCUGGAUAUCUCCACUUCAACCAUUCUCCACACGCAGGUCAAAGAAUAUCCUAUUACCCAUCCAUACAGCCCAUACACCUCCCCAAGUUCUGGCAAAUGGGAUCAUAUAGUACUACCCGGAGCCCUACAUUUAUUGCUGGUUUUGACAUUUCAUAUGGACGAGAAGAAGCUGUGCCUCAGGAACCCUAGACAUGGAUGGACUACUUAGUCUAUUGGCAUCCAUGUAAUGCAGUACCAGGCCUUAAUUGACCAUGAACUCUCCUAGAGCAUGCAAAAGCAACUGUAUCAUCGUGGGUCAUCUAAGAAGACACAGAGCUGGAAUCCUGUGACACACAGAUGUGAUGGAAUCCAGCACAUCAGAGGAAAGAGGAGAGGCACUACUCCCUGAGUGAAUGGUGAUUCCACAUCUUCAUCUGUCCUCUUGAUUUCCAAGACUCCCUCCAUCUCCAGGGAAACUUCAAGUGAUUUCUCAUUGAGGUGCAAUGUGGGCUUCUGAGCAGGAGGACUUUACUGUUGCCUUCAGGCCUUAUAUGAUUUUUUUUGAAGGAACUCCAUUGCCAACAUCCUGUAUGCUUAACUUUAGAGUCAAUUUUCUUUUGUGAACAUGCAUGUAAGUGUUUCCUAUGCUCAGAGGCCAGGGGUCUUGGGUGUCUGUCUCUAUUACUGUCUGCCUUGUUUCUUUUAUACAAAACUUGUCCCUGCA
rnacentral:sRNA from 1 species